GAUGAACGCUGGCGGCGUGCCUAAUACAUGCAAGUCGAGCGAACAGACGAGGAGCUUGCUCCUCUGACGUUAGCGGCGGACGGGUGAGUAACACGUGGAUAACCUACCUAUAAGACUGGGAUAACUUCGGGAAACCGGAGCUAAUACCGGAUAAUAUAUUGAACCGCAUGGUUCAAUAGUGAAAGACGGUUUUGCUGUCACUUAUAGAUGGAUCCGCGCCGCAUUAGCUAGUUGGUAAGGUAACGGCUUACCAAGGCAACGAUGCGUAGCCGACCUGAGAGGGUGAUCGGCCACACUGGAACUGAGACACGGUCCAGACUCCUACUGGAGGCAGCAGUAGGGAAUCUUCCGCAAUGGGCGAAAGCCUGACGGAGCAACGCCGCGUGAGUGAUGAAGGUCUUCGGAUCGUAAAACUCUGUUAUUAGGGAAGAACAAAUGUGUAAGUAACUAUGCACAUCUUGACGGUACCUAAUCAGAAAGCCACGGCUAACUACGUG
rnacentral:rRNA from 1 species